ACUUAGGAUCCUGAAGGAUUAAAAAGAGCACUGGCUUGGGGGUGUCUGAUGAUCCAGGAGCUGGGGUCGUGGAAACAGAAGUGAAGAAAUUGAGACAUGGAAACGCAGGAUAACAUCCUGUGUCCAUUCUCAGAAAGACUGUUCUCUGGGAUGUUCCCUAAGACUCUUCUGGGGACUCCCCUCUGCAUCCUGCCCACCAUGAUGUUGUUGGACUGUUCUGUGACACUGCACCUUCUCCCUCUUGACAGAGUAACGCCUCAGAAAGCAGGAGCCCAAAUCAGUUAAGUUGUUUCCUCAAAUAUUUUGGUUAACUGUGCGUAAAAGUAAUGAGUCAUCUGUCUGCCCUCACACUCACCUCAUAGGUCUGAAUGGAAUCCUCCUGCGUCUGUCCUCUUUCUGCGCUUUGCUGGGGUUUUGCUAAUGGAAUGAUGUCCUUCUUCUUCUGGGGCCUUUAAGUCUCACAUUGUCUGUGAGUUGUCCUUUCUCUCCGUACUUGGACAGUCAGCUACCCAGCCCUGGUCUCUGGGGACCGCCCUUUCUUCUUUGUCUCCAAAGCCAGGGUCCUUCUCCAGUUUCAGGGGCCCAUGAAGACCUAUCAUUAGACCCCCAUGAAUCUUCCAGGCACCUUCCUCUUCACCCUAUAUGACAAAUGAUUACCAAGCAAAUCUUCUAUAUAAAAACAACGGUUCUACCUGUCAUCUAGUCUAGAGCUCUCAGACACAGUUGCGGCUGAGACGUGGACUCCUAUUCUGCUAUCUGUAAUCUUUGUAUGAGAAAAGCCAGGAGCUGUUUCCUUAUCUUUUCUUCUUCUCGGAAUGCUCAGGCCAUCUCUGCUAAUGCAGCCCCCACCCCCUGCCCUACUAGGAGGGGGUCCUCAGUGUAGCUUGCCAAGCCAUGAACCCCACUCGUAAAUGGCUUAGAUCAUGGGUAGACACUUGAUUCAUGGGCAGCCAGCAUAGGCAGCCUGUCAUAAAGAGCUACCCAUGCAGAACAGCCAGCGCUGGACGGAGGCCACCGAAUCAAUUUGGGCCUCUCCUGGGAGUCUCAUUCCUGAAGGGAGCCGCUGAGCAGAGUCAGCGAGGGGCUGAGGAGGAGUCACCCAACCCAGAGUGACAGCCUUAGGGGCAGUGAGAUAACGUUGGUAGACACACUGUCCCGAAUGAUCUCACCGGGCACUGGCUGUGCCUUUUGGUUUCUAUAGUCUGAUGUUUUGACAUCUGGAGGCCUUCCUGACUGACUCUGGAGGGGGGACAUCUGGAUACCUUACUGACUGACUCUGGAGGGGGAAGUCAUAGGAGAAGUAGCUAAUUGCCUCUCCUCUCCCACUCCAGCAUGGCUCUCAGAUGUAAACCAACCAGAGCCCCUGCCCUGUCCACCUCCUUUUCUGACUUCUCUUUCUCACAGGUACACUCCACCUUCCUCCAUCACUGCUAGUCCAGGUACCCAGCUCAGGGUAGUCCCUAGAGCCCAGACUUAAGAAGCUUAAUUUUCACCUAAGCUGAACCUGUUUACUCCUCCCUGACCACUCCCUCCCACAAUGCCCAGUGACGCCCUGUACCCUUCUUCCUCCGCCCUCCUGACCAGGUGCUACCCUCGUGGUGCCCUGGGGUAUAGCAUGGUCCUUAUUCUUGGAACUGAAUGACCUGUCUUGUCAACAGCAGCUGCCUCCUGGUCUGCUGACCUCAUUUCUAAAAUCGGCAGAUUCUGCGUGACUCACUCAUCUCUGUGGAGUCUGGCUGUUUGGUUGUUCCUCUUUGAGGCAAGGCCGGGGCUCUUCCUGCCUUACCCUAGGUAAAGGCACUGAAUACGACCUGUCUCACUUCAGUGGGUUGUUAGUUCUUCUUUAGAUCAGAUCUUUACCGGUUGUCUCACCCCCUUUCUUUACAGAGCUCCCCACUCCCCAUGUUCUUCACAGGCAAGCAUGCUGGCUCUCUUUGUAAAUAGCCUUAAAUAUGUUCUUGUCCCCUGUGCCUGGUCAUGAGGCCAUCCUUCGGACAACUCCUGCCUUCCCCGUGCCUAAAACUACUCUCUUUCUCCAAGGUCUCACAUUCAGACGUCCUGUGACGGCUUCUGUAACCUCACGUGCCUCUCUCUGCACAUCAGCAUCACCCAUGUGUGGGUUCCGAUCCCACCACAGAGCAUCCAGUGUUCCCUGCUUUGUGUUCGGGAGCUCUCUCUCCUCAGGGCUAUAUGCACUCUCAGUUCAGGAGACAGACGUUUUGCUUGAUGAUGGGAUGCACUGGUAUCUAAGCAACUGACAUCUUUCUUCUCCUUAAGCCGGGGUAUAAAAUCCACACAUGGAGCAACAGUUGCUACCUGUUGAGCCAGAGCCUGGCUGGAAGGGAAGCCCCAUUUUAUCUCCAUUCUGAGUCCCUGGAAGGCCAGCCCCCAGCUUUCUUAAGUGGAGAGAACUUCGUUCAUUUCCUAAUGGGUCAUACUUGGGGAAAGACUGGAGUUUCUUCAUUUUAGUGUCAGGCCGGUAAGGGGUUGCAAAGUACAGAGUAAGGAAUGAGGGUAAAGCAAGAGGGAUUGGCCCACCAGUGGGAUUUGAGGACUGUCUCUUACAUGGAGGCUGGGAUGGGGAGACUGGAGCAGAAGCCGACACGCCCCUCACAGUUUUGAUCCGGCUCUAACCUGUUUGAACAGAAAACAUCUGGCUUGUCUUCCACAGGAGUUGACCCUGAUGUCAACGGGUAAAGGACUUCAGGGCACAUUCCUGAUAGUUCCCUGAGGGACUUCCUAACAAAGGGGUGGAGCCAAGUAGCUCUUGGAAUGGUCUCCCAUCAUAGACAUGCACUUAGAGUUUGAGCUAUACGAAUAAUUCAGAUGCUACACUGUAAGCCCUAAAUAUACCUUAAACCCACAAACAACUCCCCUUUGUCAGGCUUUAUGCCUGUGUUCCUUUAAAUGGACUUUCUGUUCCUGACCGCACUGUAAUCAGCAGAUAUCCCUACCGUCCCCCCACUCCCUCCUCCUCCCUUAAAACGGCUCCUUCUAAUAGCUAGCAUCCUGCAGUGACCAAAGCCAUUAGAAGGAUUGCGCCAUUACUAUCCUGUCCAGCACACACAUAAUGCCCCAGGGAUUGCCUUUCUUCUUCUUUGCUUCAUGUUUUUUUUUUUUGUGGAUGAAAUCGGGGCCCAAUGGUGGGCUGAAAAAAAAAAAACCGAAGAGGGCAGAAGGUGACAGUCAUUCGUUUCAAGGGCACCUCCCAAACAGCUUUCCCCACUUGAGAUUCCUUUGUGAAGGUGACGGCAGAUGUCAGCCUUGUGGAUAAAGCAGGCUCUGAAAGCACGCAGACAGGUUGCAGACCUCUGUUCCUCGUUACCAUAAUAUUGAAUGCUCAUCUUUUCCCAAGCACGACAGCGGAUAUGUGCUCUGCCUGCUAGCUCACUGUUGUUUGUGCUGGAAAGAACCCGGGCCCAGCCCAGAGCCACGUUGCAGGGCUCAGGACUGCUCUGAAACACUGCCACCUAGUGGCGUGAUGAGGGUUCUGUAGCUCAGGAAUCCUGAGAGAAGCAAGGAAGAAUCUUCUAGCAUGUGGGGGACUCUCGGGACCCAAGAGGGAGAGCAACUCCUAAAGACAUGGAGGCUUCUAGUACUUCAGGACAAUGGGUCUGAAAUUCUUGCUUGGGGCCAUAUGGAUUGGCCGCGCAGGGAGGAAAUUAUAUUCGGCUUUCUGUUUCUGCUCAACUCUUUCCACUGGAUGUCAUCCACCUGGGGAUGUCAAAAGAGAAAAUACAGGGCGCUGGGCAGAUGGCUCGGUGGCUAAGAGCACUGACAGCUCUGGCAGACAAGCCAGGUUCCUGCCCUGCUUGAGUUCCUAUCCUGACUUCCUUCAAUGAUGAACAGCAAUGUGGAAGUGUAAACCAAAUAAACCAUUUCUUCCC
ensembl:lincRNA BC028471 uncharacterized LOC110293927